UCCGACUGACUGCAUUCUCGCCCGGUUUACUUGCAAAACAUGAAAAAUCAAACAAUAAAUAUAUUACCAUUAUCCCAUGUGCUUUAAAAUACACGAAAAUUCGCGGUUUUCGCAUUAUAAAGUGAAGGAAACACGGAUAAACGAAUUUCUCCGGCGCCAUAUUGAUGCAAUAUUGCUACAAUAUGGUGUUCGAUGAUAUGAUUGAUUUCUUCACUUCGGGAGAUAAAUAUUGAAGCUGCCAACAUGCAAAUAAAAGAGGUACGUUUUUGACGUGACAACGUCUUAUAAUUCGAUAAAGCCGGCUGCACGCACGAAAAAACAUGACUCAUGCGGC